CCAGCAUUCCCAGGUAGGCCAAGGUGUUCCACAGAAAACCCUUGUGGUAGUCCUACAAGGGACUGG
rfam:Tupaia chinensis contig32211, whole genome shotgun sequence.